UACAGAGGUGCCGAGCGUUAGGCGGAAUCACUGGGCUUAAAGCGUGUGUAGGCGGACGCCUAAGUACCUUGUGAAAUCCCCCGGCUCAACCGGGGAACGGCUGGGUAUACUGGCGGUCUUGAGCCAUCCAGGGGCAGUCGGAACAGACGGUGGAGCGGUGAAAUGCGUAGAUAUCGUCUGGAACGCCGAAGGUGAAAACAGACUGCUGGGGAUGAGCUGACGCUGAGACACGAAAGCCAGGGGAGCGAACGGG
rnacentral:rRNA from 1 species